rnacentral:rRNA from 1 species
CCAGACUCCUACGGGAGGCAGCAGUGGGGGAUAUUGCACAAUGGGGGGAACCCUGAUGCAGCGACGCCGCGUGGGUGAAGGAGUAUUUCGGUAUGUAAAGCCCUAUCGGCAGGGAAGAAGCAAGACGGUACCUGACUAAGAAGCCCCGGCUAACUACGUGCCAGCAGCCGCGGUAAUACGUAGGGGGCGAGCGUUAUCCGGAUUCACUGGGUGUAAAGGGAGCGUAGACGGCCAAGCAAGCCAGGGGUGAAAGCCCGGGGCCCAACCCCGGGACUGCCCUUGGAACUGCUUGGCUGGAGUGCGGGAGGGGCAGGCGGAAUUCCUGGUGUAGCGGUGAAAUGCGUAGAUAUUAGGAGGAACACCAGUGGCGAAGGCGGCUUGCUGGACAGAGACUGACGUUGAGGCUCGAAAGCGUGGGGAGCAAACAGGAUUAGAUACCCGUGUAUA